CCUGGCGGCCGUAGCGCGGUGGUCCCACCUGACCCCAUGCCGAACUCAGAAGUGAAACGCCGUAGCGCCGAUGGUAGUGUGGGGUCUCCCCAUGCGAGAGUAGGGAACUGCCAGAC
rnacentral:rRNA from 34 species